rnacentral:rRNA from 1 species
CCGUAUGAGGUCAUACGAUGGCAUCAGAAUAUGACGAAAGGUUUGGCGGUGAAGGAUGGGGAUGCGUCUGAUUAGCUUGUUGGUGAGGUAACGGCUCACCAAGGCGACGAUCAGUAGGAGUUCUGAGAGGAAGUUCCCCCACAUUGGAACUGAGACACGGUCCAAACUCCUACGGGAGGCAGCAGUGAGGAAUAUUGGUCAAUGGGCGAGAGCCUGAACCAGCCAAGUAGCGUGCAGGACGACGGCCCUAUGGGUUGUAAACUGCUUUUAUAUGGGGAUAAAGUGAGUUACGUGUAGCUUAUUGCAGGUACCAUAUGAAUAAGGACCGGCUAAUUCCGUACCAGCAGCCGCGGUAAUACGGAAGGUCCAGGCGUUAUCCGGAUUUAUUGGGUUUAAAGGGAGCGUAGGCCGCCCCUUAAGCGUGUUGUGAAAUGCCGCGGCUCAACCGUGGCACUGCAGCGCGAACUGGGGGGCUUGAGUGCACGCAACGCAGGCGGAAUUCGUGGUGUAGCGGUGAAAUGCUUAGAUAUCACGAAGAACUCCGAUUGCGAAGGCAGCUUGCGGGAGUGCGACUGACGCUGAAGCUCGAAGGUGCGGGUAUCGAACAGGAUUAGAUACCCUGGUAGUCCGCACAGU